rnacentral:other from 1 species
AAUUUCCUGGAGUGUUCGCCAGUGAGUUACGUCCCUGAGCCGAUACUUUAAACUUUAUGAAUUGGUUCUCUAUUAUUGGUGUGCAAGCUUAGCUUGACUAAGAAGCCUAAAAAUAAUAACAACUAAUUCCCUUGAACCGUUGGGUUCAAGGACUGCCACUCGCAACGGCACUCUGGGGCCUCU